AAGUCGUAACAAGGUUUCCGUAGGUGAACCUGCGGAAGGAUCAUUAACGAGUUUUGAAAGGGGUUGUAGCUGGCCUUUUACGAGGCAUGUGCACGCCCUGCUCAUCCACUCUCAACCUCUGUGCACUUACUGUAGGUCGGUGAAAGGCUUGUGCUUUUAUUAGUGCGAGCUGGAAGCCUUCCUAUGUUUCACUACAAACGCUUCAGUUAUAGAAUGUCUUUUUGGCGUAUAACGCAUUUAUAUACAA
rnacentral:misc_RNA from 1 species